rnacentral:rRNA from 1 species
UAGUAUAAGCAUUAUACGGCGAAACUGCGAAUGGCUCAUUAUAUAAGUUAUCGUUUAUUUGAUAGCACCUUACUACUUGGAUAACCGUGGUAAUUCUAGAGCUAAUACAUGCUGAAAACCCCGACUUCGGAAGGGGUGUAUUUAUUAGAUUAAAAACCAAUGCCCUCUGGGCUCUCUGGUGAUUCAUGAUAACUCUUCGAAUCGCACGGCCUUGCGCCGGCGAUGGUUCAUUCAAAUUUCUUCCCUAUCAGCUUUCGAUGUUUGGGUAGUGGCCAAACAUGGCUGCAACGGGUAACGGAGGGUUAGGGCUCGACCCCGGAGAAGGAGCCUGAGAAACGGCUACUACAUCCAAGGAAGGCAGCAGGCGCGCAAAUUACCCAAUCCCGACACGGGGAGGUAGUGACAAUAAAUACUGAUACAGGGCUCUUUUGGGUCUUGUAAUUGGAAUGAGUACAAUUUAAAUCCCUUAACGAGGAACAAUUGGAGGGCAAGUCUGGUGCCAGCAGCCGCGGUAAUUCCAGCUCCAAUAGCGUAUAUUAAAGUUGUUGUGGUUAAAAAGCUCGUAGUUGAACCUUGGGCCUGGCUGGCCGGUCCGCCUCACCGCGUGCACUGGUCCGGCCGGGCCUUUCCCUCCGCGGAACCCCAUGCCCUUCACUGGGCGUGGCGGGGAAACGGGACUUUUACUUUGAAAAAAUUAGAGUGCUCCAGGCAGGCCUAUGCUCGAAUACAUUAGCAUGGAAUAAUGAAAUAGGACGCGCGGUUCUAUUUUGUUGGUUUCUAGGACCGCCGUAAUGAUUAAUAGGGACAGUCGGGGGCAUCAGUAUUCAAUUGUCAGAGGUGAAAUUCUUGGAUCAAUUGAAGACUAACUACUGCGAAAGCAUUUGCCAAGGAUGUUUUCAUUAAUCAGGAACGAAAGUUAGGGGAUCGAAGACGAUCAGAUACCGUCGUAGUCUUAACCAUAAACUAUGCCGACUAGGGAUCGGACGAUGUUAUUACUUGACUCGUUCGGCACCCUUACCGAGAAAUCAAAGUGCUUGGGCUCC